rnacentral:rRNA from 1 species
GAUCCUGGCUUAGGACGAACGCUGGCGGCGUGCCUAACACAUGCAAGUCGAGCGAGGAGAUCCUUCGGGAUGAUCCUAGCGGCGGACGGGUGAGUAACACGUGGGCAACCUGCCUCAUAGAGAGGAAUAGCCUUCCGAAAGGGAGAUUAAUACCUCAUAACAUUGCAGUUUCGCAUGGAACAGCAAUUAAAGGAGUAAUCCGCUAUGAGAUGGGCCCGCGGCGCAUUAGCUAGUUGGUGAGGUAACGGCUCACCAAGGCGACGAUGCGUAGCCGACCUGAGAGGGUGAUCGGCCACAUUGGGACUGAGACACGGCCCAGACUCCUACGGGAGGCAGCAGUGGGGAAUAUUGCACAAUGGGGGAAACCCUGAUGCAAGCAACGCCGCGUGAGUGAUGACGGCCUUCGGGUUGUAAAGCUCUGUCUUCAGGGACGAUAAUGACGGUACCUGAGGAGGAAGCCACGGCUAACUACGUGCCAGCCGCAGC